rnacentral:rRNA from 1 species
CUACGUGCCAGCAGCCGCGGUAAUACGUAGGUGGCAAGCGUUGUCCGGAAUUAUUGGGCGUAAAGCGCGCGCAGGCGGAUUGGUCAGUCUGUCUUAAAAGUUCGGGGCUUAACCCCGUGAUGGGAUGGAAACUGCCAAUCUAGAGUAUCGGAGAGGAAAGUGGAUUUCCUAGUGUAGCGGUGAAAUGCGUAGAUAUUAGGAAGAACACCAGUGGCGAAGGCGACUUUCUGGACGAAAACUGACGCUGAGGCGCGAAAGCCAGGGGAGCGAACGGGAUUAGAUACCCCGGUAGUCCUGGCCGUAAACGAUGGGUACUAGGUGUAGGAGGUAUCGACCCCUUCUGUGCCGGAGUUAACGCAAUAAGUACCCCGCCUGGGGAGUACGACCGCAAGGUUGAAACUCAAAGGAAUUGACGGGGGCCCGCACAAGCGGUGGAGUAUGUGGUUUAAUUCGACGCAACGCGAAGAACCUUACCAGGUCUUGACAU